CCAUUUCUUUUUUUCUCUCUCCUCACAUUUACGCGAACUGCAACUCUCCCUCUCCUUCAGCUCUCAAACAUAACACGCGAACGAGGGGCUCUCCUCUCUCGCUCUCGCGAUCUGCUCACCCCAAGCUCUCUUUCCCUCGCUUCUCUCGAUCUUAGGCGCUCACUCGCUUCUCAACCCUGCUCGCUCAGUCGCCCCAAAUCCCAAAACCACAUAUAGUCCUAAUUUUCGACCCAAAUCUGUCGCGACGGCUUGCCCUAAUGUUUGCCUCUCAAAAGCAUCAUACGCAAGUUCGUCUUCUAUCUCUCUUUCAAUCAUGGAUCCCAUGAAUCCUAACUGUAUUACAUAGAUCGAUUUAUUCAUGUUAUAUUAUAUGUAUGUCUGUUGUUUUCUUAAUUUUGAGUUUUGAAUUGAACACUUCAUAAAUAUGAUUUGAUUUGAUUUAUUUUUUAUAAGUAAAUCUGACAUUUUCCUCGAGAGUAUAUACCAACAGAAAUUUUGUGUAUUGCUAUUUGAAAAUAAUUUUUAAUGACAAAAUGGUUAUUUUUGUUCAAAUGAGGUCUCUGCCUUGGUUCCGAUUUGGCUAUCAAUAUUUUUUUUUGGGAACAUGGACAUAGGUAAUUGAUAUAUGUAUAUAUUUUAGUCUUGCCAGUCUUGCAUUUUUAAUGUUUAGCUGGGGUACGACUUUGUGUGGUUUCUUGCAGAAUCUUAGAUAUGUUUUUUGCGCAGUGCUUUUCAUUAAAAAGAGAUUGUUAUUGAGGACUGCUCAAACUUGUUGUUGCAUAAUUGCAAGUGAGUUCAUGUUGACGCUUUAUUGUUUUUUUCAUGGUCUCAAGUCAUCUAUGAUAUGAUAUUUGGAGGAUGUCAUUAUUGUUCCAUUUAUCAAUUACUGAUUGGUUUGUGUAAUAUCAUCAUACGAAAGAGGAUAAACAUGAGAGAAAAAAUGACUACAAAAUUUACUGGACAAAUUGUUGUAUCACCCAUGGUAGACACCAUCAUAAUUGGGGCCCUGCAUUUGAGAGAGGUAACUCAUUUGGUGGAUUUUUGGAAAUUAACUAUACAAACAUAGCAUAAAUGCUGACAGAGCAUUAAGUUCAAUUUUUAUUGUGUAAACUUUUAUAUACACAAGAAAAUAUUUAUGUUAGUCAUGACUACCAUUUAUAGGCAAUCAUCAGUUCAUGCAAAAAUAUUAUGAAAGUCACUUGCAUCUCUAGCAUUAGUGCAUUUUUUUCUACUAGACUGUUUGUUGUGGUAGAAAAUUAGUGCCUGAGCCGCAAGGGCACUAUAUUGUAGUGUUCAGCUUGGGUUUGAAAUGGUCAUGCCUCAUCAGAUAUAGGGAAGGCAUGUGAUUCCUGACAACAUAUGGGCAUACCAUGUUCAGAAGGUGUUGUUUCUUAAAUCAAGAAUAUAGAAAUGCGAGUGAAGUUAAUUUUUUUUAAAAAAUGUGAGUAAAAUUUAAAAUGUCAUGGUUUAUUGUGUUUUUCUAUUUUGUAUUUGCAGACAUGAACGAAGUAUGUGAUUGUGAAAGUCAAGCUCAACUUAAAACAUCAUGGACCGAUUCAAACCCAGGAAGAAGGUUUUUUUCAUGUCCAAAUUAUGGAAAAGUAAGUGUGACAGAUCAAGACAAAUAAUCCCCGGAUUACUUCGAAAGAUUAACAGAAUGGAGCAAGAGAUGGAGAACGUGCGUGCAAUAGGCAACAUGAAUAAAAUUUAUUAUUGUACUUGUUUGUUCUUGUUAUUGUAGAUAGAGUAAAUAUUGUCAUUUGGGUUGAUUAAACUUCUAGUAUAGUUUGUUGUAACCUUAUCCAAGAAUUUUUUUUGUAACCUUUACUGAGAAUCUGUUUUAUAAGAAUCUAUUUUACUACUGAGAAAGGUCUGGAUCAUCAAUGACAAUUGAGG
rnacentral:lncRNA from 1 species